UCCUCCUUAGUGGCACAUUCAUCCAGGCCU
rnacentral:sRNA from 1 species